AGAGUUUGAUCCUGGCUCAGGACGAACGCUGGCGGCGUGCCUAAUACAUGCAAGUCGAACGAGAGCGACCGGUGCUUGCACUGGUCAAUCUAGUGGCGAACGGGUGAGUAACACGUGGGUAACCUGCCCAUCAGAGGGGGAUAACAUUCGGAAACGGAUGCUAAAACCGCAUAGGUCUUCGAACCGCAUGGUUUGAAGAGGAAAAGAGGCGCAAGCUUCUGCUGAUGGAUGGACCCGCGGUGCAUUAGCUAGUUGGUGAGGUAACGGCUCACCAAGGCCGUGAUGCAUAGCCGACCUGAGAGGGUGAUCGGCCACAUUGGGACUGAGACACGGCCCAUACUCCUACGGGAGGCUGCAGUAGGGAAUCUUCCACAAUGGACGCAAGUCUGAUGGAGCAACGCCGCGUGAGUGAUGACGGCCUUCGGGUUGUAAAGCUCUGUUAAUCGGGACGAAAGGCCUUCUUGCGAAUAGUUAGAAGGAUUGACGGUACCGGAAUAGAAAGCCACGGCUAACUACGUGCCAGCAGCCGCGGUAAUACGUAGGUGGCAAGCGUUGUCCGGAAUUAUUGGGCGUAAAGCGCGCGCAGGCGGAUCAGUCAGUCUGUCUUAAAAGUUCGGGGCUUAACCCCGUGAUGGGAUGGAAACUGCUGAUCUAGAGUAUCGGAGAGGAAAGUGGAAUUCCUAGUGUAGCGGUGAAAUGCGUAGAUAUUAGGAAGAACACCAGUGGCGAAGGCGGACUUUCUGGACGAAAACUGACGCUGAGGCGCGAAAGCCAGGGGAGCGAACGGGAUUAGAUACCCUGGUAGUCCACGCCGUAAACGAUGAAUGCUAGGUGUUGGAGUUGUCAAAUUUCAGUGCUGCAGUUAACGCAGUAAGUACUCCGCCUGAGUAGUACGUUCGCAAGAAUGAAACUCAAAGGAAUUGACGGGGGCCCGCACAAGCAGCGGAGCAUGUGGUUUAAUUCGAAGCAACGCGAAGAACCUUACCUGGUCUUGACAUGUUCCCGACGAUCCCAGAGAUGGGCCCUUCUUCGGACAGCAGAGACAGGUGGUGCAUGGUUGUCGUCAGCUCGUGCCGUGAGAUGUUGGGUUAAGUCCCGCAACGAGCGCAACCCUUGCCAUUAGUUGCCAUCAUUUAGUUGGGCACUCUAGUGGGACUGCCGGGGAAAACUCGGAGGAAGGUGGGGAUGACGUCAAAUCAUCAUGCCCCUUAUGUUCUGGGCUACACACGUGCUACAAUGGCCGGUACAACAGGCAGCGAACCCGUGAGGGGGAGCGAAUCCCAAAAGCCGGUCCCAGUUCGGACUGUAGGCUGCAACUCGCCUACACGAAGUUGGAGUUGCUAGUAAUCGCGGAUCAGAAUGCCGCGGUGAAUGCGUUCCCGGGUCUUGUACACACCGCCCGUCACACCAUGGAAGUUGGGGGUGCCCGAAGUCGGUUAGUUAAUCUAUCGCCUAAGGCAAAACCAAUGACUGGGGUGAAGUCGUAACAAGGUAACC
rnacentral:rRNA from 1 species